AUAUCAAUAAGCGGAGGAAAAGAAACCAACAGGGAUUGCCUUAGUAACGGCGAGUGAAGCGGCAACAGCUCAAAUUUGAAAUCUGCCUCUAGGCCGAGUUGUAAUUUGUAGAAGAUGCUUCGGGUGUGGCACCGGUCUAAGUUCCUUGGAACAGGACGUCAUAGAGGGUGAGAAUCCCGUACGUGACUGGCCGCCUUCGCCCGUGUGAAGCUCUUUCGACGAGUCGAGUUGUUUGGGAAUGCAGCUCAAAAUGGGUGGUAUAUUUCAUCUAAAGCUAAAUAUUGGCCAGAGACCGAUAGCGCACAAGUAGAGUGAUCGAAAGAUGAAAAGCACUUUGGAAAGAGAGUUAAACAGUACGUGAAAUUGUUGAAAGGGAAGCGCUUGCAACCAGACUUGCACGCUGUCGAUCAUCCGAGGUUUUCCCCGGUGCACUCGGCGGCGUUCAGGCCAGCAUCGGUUUCAGUGGUUGGAUAAAGGCCUUGGGAAUGUGGCUCCUCCGGGAGUGUUAUAGCCCUCGGUGCAAUGCAGCCUACUGGGACCGAGGACCGCGCUUCGGCUAGGAUGCUGGCGUAAUGGUUGUAAGCGA
rnacentral:rRNA from 1 species